CCUGGAGAAGAACUGCUGGGUACUUGGAACCGGACUGGCUGUGGCUUCUCCGCCCUUGGCCUGUGGCCUUGCAGGUGUCAUCUGACAGCUUAAGACGCCGGGAGGGUCCGGCUGCAGCGGCCAGGCUUUGAUGCUGGGCUCUGGUAGAAGGAGAUUGUUCUCAGCUCUGCUGCAAGUUCAGAAGAGGCCCUGUCAGCCCUCUAGGGACAUGAGACUGGUACAGUUCCAGACACCCCACCUGGAGCAGCCUCACCUGGGCCUGGAGGCAGGGAUUGGUGGGGGAGUCAUAGACCUAAACACUUUUGACCCCACACUUCCCAAGACAAUGAUGCAGUUCCUGGAGCAGGGAGAGACUACCCUCUCGGUGGCAAGAAGAGCCCUGGCUACACAGUUGCCAGUCCUGUGUCGGUCACAGGUGACCUUCCUGGCCCCUGUCACCCGGCCAGACAAGGUGGUAUGUGUGGGCAUGAAUUAUGCAGACCACUGCAAAGAACAGAAUGUGCGGGUGCCCAAGGAGCCCAUCAUCUUCAGCAAGUUCUCCAGUUCUAUUGUGGGGCCCUAUGAUGAGAUCAUCCUCCCACCGGAGAGUGAGGAGGUGGACUGGGAGGUGGAACUGGCCGUGGUCAUUGGAAAGAAAGGCAAGCACAUCAAGGCCACAGAUGCCAUGGCUCACGUGGCUGGCUUCACUGUGGCCCAUGAUGUGAGUGCUCGGGACUGGCAAAUGAGACGCAAUGGAAAGCAGUGGUUAUUGGGAAAAACUUUUGAUACUUUCUGCCCCCUGGGCCCUGCCUUGGUUACCAGGGACAGCAUAGCAGAUCCACACAAUUUAAAGAUCUGCUGUCGAGUGAACGGGGAGGUAGUCCAGAGCAGCAACACCAACCAGAUGGUGUUCAAGACUGAAGAGCUGAUAGCCUGGGUCUCCCAGUUUGUCACUCUCUAUCCAGGGGACAUCAUCCUGACGGGGACUCCUCCAGGUGUUGGUGUGUUUAGGAAGCCUCCUGUCUUUCUCAAGAAGGGUGACGAAGUCCAGUGUGAGAUUGAAGAAAUUGGUGUCAUUGUCAACAAGGUGGUGUGAUGACAUCCCUGUAAACACUGGACUUGACACAAAGGUGGGACUUCUGCUCCCACAAAGCUCACCGCUGCCCCUGCCCACUUGAGGUGCUCUUAGAUGAACUGUCGGAUAAAUUGUUCCAGCUUGUCCUGGUUGUCCCGGCUGGCAAAUGUAGGGGACAGAUGGAGCUGGGGUCCUGUAGGGCUGGGCAUCUGCUGUAGUACCUGAC